CCCCCGCUCCGAUCCGGCGGCGAAGGGGUGGGCAGGGAAACGCGCUCUCUGGGACAGGUGCCAACUCCGAGACAAAAGACAUAAAAUAGGCGGCAACGGGGGAAGCGCGGCCGGCGCGCUCGGGCGGGGACGGCGGCGCCGCGGGGGCCGCAUCCUCGGUGCCGACCCGGGAAAGUUUGGGAAGUCGCCGCGGCGGCUUCACAGCGGCGGGGGACGCGCGGCCCGGGUCGCCCUCCGCGCCGCGCUCGCCCUCUCCGCGCCGCUGCUGAAUAAUUCAUGGCGCGGCCGCCGGCCAUUAGCAUGCACCGGGCGCGCGGCGCGUCUGUGCCAAGCCGCCGCCGCAUUCGGCGCCCGGGCAGCGCCAGACGAGCGGCCGCGCGGUGGCCGGGCCCACGCUGUCCCCGCGCCCGCCCGCCCGGCGGCGCCCAUUGUGCCCCGGCCCGCCCCGCCGGGCUGUCCCCAAGCCCGCCUGCAACCCACCGCCCGCCCGACGGCCCGACCCUGCAAGUCCUGGCUCGCGACGCCCGCCCCGGAAUGCACGUGAACUUGGAGAAAGUCGCGGGGCGCGCCGGCCGGGCUCUCCGCGGCAGGGCGUGGGCGUCCCCGGGCCGGCGCGCUUUCGUUUUCGUCUGGGACAAAGGUCCCUUGCGGCGCGCGGACGCCGUGACCGGGUCCUGCGGGCCACUCUCUGGCGCAGUCGGGUCGCUAAGCGCAGGGAAGCCGGAGCCCGAAGGCAAGGAGCGACGCGGCGCGGGGCCGGGGAAGUGGGGCCUGGGCCCUGCGCUUCGCCAGCGGCAGUCCAGAGCCGUCCCACCCUGCGAAGAGUUGCGGGAACUGGCACCGCUCUGCCGUCCGCCGCUUGGACGCGGGAAGAGGGUGAGCGUUUGGAACCCAGGACUCAGACUGCUAGCUGAGGGCCUGUGCAGCUCUGGGCACGCGAGGGCGGCGCCCGCGGCGGCCAGGCGCGGUCCUCCAGCAAGGGCAGGGCUGUCGACCUGUGCGCCCCAGGUCACGAUCGGGUUCACGGCGACUCCCGAGGACGGUAAGUGCACUUCUCACUUUCGCUGUUUAGUGAGUAAAUAUUAAUGAAGGGAUCUCUAAGACGGACCCUUCCGUAGGGCAGGCCUUCCACAGACCAGGGAACGCACCGAGGAGGUUGCUCUUGAACCUGAAAGCCGCACCAGCUUGCAAGAACUCCACUCGGCAUUAAUCUGGAUCUUGGAAUUUGUGAAGCACAGCUUCUAAUCUCAGGUGUGCAGGCUAUUUGCCAGAGAGAAUCUUGUUGAACACAUAAAAUAAGCGUUAGCAGACAUCUUAAACACAAUGGGAAGAAAAGAGAAAACAUCUGUUUUUAGAUUUUUUUUUUUUUUUUUUUUGGUGAGAUGUGUUUGGAAAGGUUAUUGGGAAGCUACAACUCUUUCUUGGAAGAUUGAAAUAUUUCAUUUACUUCCUAAACCCACGCUGCUGAUUUUUCCCCGUGGUCGGACACUUGGGGAGAGCUGAUUUCAGGGGGGAUCCUCGGUUCGACGUUGGCGGCAUUUGGGCCGGUUCAGUGAAAGGCUCUUGUGUGAAAGCUGCUGUUUACGGUGGUGUAAAACGAAAAACAAUACAUAACUUUUUGUAAUAAAUGCCCCUUUAUAGGUGCCUCACACACAGGCCCAGCUAGUGGCCCUGGGGAGUUUGUGAGGAGCAAGAAAGGGGUGAAGGAAUGUUUGCUUGCUAUGAUUAUAGGGUUUUAAGGUAACGUGGAGAUUAAUUUUUUCAAAGUUGGGUUUCAAAAGCCGAGGCGGCCUGCAGGCCAGCGAUAGCUUCAUUUUAUUUUAGUUCAUUGAUUCUAGCUCUUUGGGGUUUUAAAAUACGUGUUUGUCCGUGUGUGUAAGGAGCUAGGGUUAAAAUGAAACCCCAAACGGUGGGGAAUUGAGCCUGCUUUUUAAUAUGAUUGUGCCACAGGUGCAAUUUCCCCCUGUCCUCCCCAGCUUACUGAGGUGGUUUGGAUAAUCUUGCUGGAUGUUUUCACCACAAAAUAAUGGGGGGCCUGUUUCCAUAACACCCCAGGGCCAUGAGCUGGCUCUUGGAGGCUGUGUUUCCGGGAACACGGACAGAGGCCUGGGUAGUCCAGGCUUGCCUCACGCCUCCCUCCCCCUCGGCUGCCUAGUGCCCUCCCCAAAAACCCCAAGGACUGAGGGGACCAUUUCAGUCGGGUCCAGCCAGCCACGGCCGGAGGUGGAAAGUUUGCCUCCGUGCUGGAAGAACUAACCUUGGCCGUCUUUUUUGCUGGGCUGCCUCCCCCAUUGCCCCCUCGCCCCAUUUUGGGUUUUUAUUUAUGACUUUAUCAGAGGCAGUUAGCGGACGUGAAACCUGGGGUGGGACAUUCGGGGGCGAUCUCAGAAUCGGGGUGCAGCUGCAGAAGGCAUGCCGUGAUAGCCGGGAGCUUCUGCUUGGCAUGGCGUUGGCAGUGACGAGGUUGGUAGUUAGAAGAAGCUCAGGUUCCACCGGGGCCUUGCCUGUAAAAUGCUGGAGACGUUUACCCGGAGGCCACAGCAGACUGGGAACAUGGCACGGAGGGCAGGCAUGGUGUGGCACUCUACUGAGGCUGCAGGGAGUCCCUCUGGAUUAAAACAGAUUCCGAAAGAAGCGGCAUCCAGCUCUCCUGCUCCCAUAGGCCAGACCCGGGGCUAGCCUGGGAAAGGCCUGAACGUCGGAGGAGGCAGUCUCCAGGGCCGCCAAGUGAGGGCUGCUAUUCGUCAAAGCUCCAGAGCCCUGUCUCCUGCCAUACAGUGUGCCCCUGGCCCAUGAAAUGGGAUGAGGUCAAGAUUCUGCAGCCAACAGUUGGGGCCAGCGCUGGGCACAGAGGCCUUGGCGAGGCCCCGUCCUGCCUUUGUCCAUGUUCCUUAGAGCCAGCUCAGCCUGACAGAGUCUCAGGGUCCCACCAGGGGCUUCCCAGUGGUGUUGGAAUCUCCCAUCCCGGCACAAUUCAUUUUUGAGGGCACACACACAAAAGAGAAGGCUCUGAAAAUGAAACUGACACUUGUCUGUUUUUUUAAUCACUUCUGGAUUUAACAUCAAGAAUGUGGAAAGCAGUGGGCCAGGGCCACAUGGACUAUGAUGUGGGCUGGUGGAAGGAUGGGCCCCGGUUUUUCUGGUUUUGUUUUAAACCAGGGCCUACCCCAGGAUAGUCCGUCGCCUGUGCUGGGGCCUCACCAGGCCCCAGACCCUCCUGGGCGAGAAAGGUCUCCAGGUUGCUGGUGGGGACGAGCUGGGCUCCACUUGGGCAGUGCCCUUCUGCCAUGGUGAGGUCUCAUGCACACUGCCUGAGCAGGUGCAGCCUAGCAGUUUGCCUUGCUCCACAGGAACGGCGUGGUGCUUUGCAGCAGGGUUACUUUUUGUUAUGUGGUUUGCACCUGGCUGGGUCAGGCUGUCUGUGUGAACCUGUCUCACUCCCUUCGACCCCCUAAAGGGCACUGGGGCCUGUCCUACCCAGCAUGGAUGGGGUAUGACUGGAAGGCAGACUGUGUGGCCCAGGAGGAACUGGGAAGAGCUCUGCCCACCCAGAUGGGCACCCUGCCUGGGCAGGUGCUGCCUCGUGUCCAGGGGAACCUCUCGUGCAGUGUAGAUGCAUGCCUGUGCUGAAGGGCGGCCUCUAGGAAGGGAGGGGUCCUUCCAGGCCAGGCAAGAAACACCAUAAAGCCACCAUGCUUCCUUGGGGUGUUGUCGUUGGGUUUUGAGGGUUCUUUGCAUGUUUGGGGAGAGAGGAGAAUGCUCUUGCCGAAAUCGCAGCAAGCUGGAGUCUGAACACCCUGAGCUUCAGUCUGCCUCUGCCCCUCCCUGGGUGACCCUGGCACAUCUGAGCUCCUCCCUCAGCCUGGAUUCUGAGCUAUAAAGCGGGAAGAGUGUUAACCCACCUCAGAGACUUCAAACAUUAUUUCCAUAAAGCACCAUUCCGGGCACGUUGUCGGGGAGGGGCGGGACAUAAAUGGCUACUGCUAUUGCCACUUAUUGUUGUCAACAAUAAUCACUGUUUUUGUUUAAUUUUUAUUUAUUUUACUUACCAUUACUAUUAUUUUAUAUAUUGUAUGAUGUUAUAUUCUAAAUAACAGAUAACCCAACUUCAGUCUCAUCAGAAAAUGAACCAAGAAGUUUACUCUGCCGGCCCCACAGGUGGGAGCAAAAGUGGACGUUGAUGAUAUCUCCCAGGUAGACUGGCAGGAGCUCACAGAGCCAGCACUUUCCUCACCACAGGGACUUGGUGUGAAUGUGGCUUCCAGAUGCAUCUUGCACUGCACAUUGGGUACACAAGAUGAGACCAGGGUCUCUUUGGGGACCCGGGAAGUGCUGAUGGAGGAGGCGCUCCUUCCCAGGGGCAGGACAGAAAGCGUGCCUGGGUGCUGGCCCUGGGUCUGACUUUUGCCCCCCCACCCACCCACCCACUUCAGGGGCAGGAAAGAACGGGGCAGGACGUCCUCAUGCAGGGGCCCAGAGCAGCCACACCAGCCACCAGCGUCCUCGCUGGAAAUGCAGAUGGUGAUUUGGUGGGAGGGCUUCAUCACUCUGAUGAGCUAAUUGUUCUCUGGCCUGGUGCAUUAACCAAAAUGCUUGCUUCGGAGAAUUUUCGCCCUAGCUGGUCGUUCAGGAAGACCCAGCAAGAUCGCCCUUGCUGAAAACAUCUUGUCGGAAUGAGAGAGAGCUCUAAAUGGCAUGGGUCAUGCUUUCUGAUAUUAUAGAACUGAGUAGGGAGAAAAAGCAACAAUUGUCUCCAAGCAGAGACAAUGGAUCUUUCAUAUGAAAUAUUUAUUUUCAGGGCUGCCCAGUGUUCCCUGGGCUGGGACGGUCCAUGAAGCUCGAGCGUCCGGGAAUAGCAAGCCCCAAACAUGUAGUUGGGGACAGAGAUUUAGAGAAGAAAAAAGAAAGUCUCCUGACCUGUGAUUGUUGAACAAUUUCAGUGGGCAUGUCUGGCUUUCUUUGUCGAGUGGAGGCUAAGCUUGCACGAGUUAAUUUUGUUUUCUUCCGUGAUUUCUUUUUGAAAGCCGCAGGGCUGCACUUGGCGAGUGCUAGAAAGAUGGCCAGGUUUGGGAUCGUGGGCCGGAUGGGGCCUCCGUUGGCCAGGCCCAGUUGGCCUUAGCCGGCUGGGUCACAAAAUGGAAGCGUGAGGAAAAAUAGAGCCCAGAAGAGGAAGGGUCUGUCCCCAAAGGGCUAAGGGAGAGGCCAUCAAGAGGGCGAUUUGGGCCAAUAUUUGUGGUUUUCCAGUGUCUACUCCUCCCCAAAUUCCAUUCUCAGAUGAACUUGGGAGUGGCCCGUAGGUUGUGGGAGAGUCUGGCCUGACUUGGUGAAGCCACACACAAGCAAACACCCUUCCGGGCUGGAGAGGGUGUUUUUGUAACUCUGACAAAUGUGGCCCAGAGUUAUGGCUCCGUGAAUAUUUUCUGAAUUGAUAGAAGGAAGAGGCCUACACACGAGCCAUCCCCCGGUCCCUUCUCUGAGGUGCUGGAGGAGCUGCCCCGGGGAAGCCAGGCCAGAGCCCAGGCUCCCGUUAGCAGAUUUGGGAGGAGUGGGCCGUGCUGGGGCUGUAGUGAAGCAUUCCUGUGGUGCUAGGGGAGCGUUGGGAAGGCUGAGGUGGCCCAUCGGCUGGGGACACCCGGCGCAUUACAGGGACCUGUCUGGACACCCCAGCGAGGCCUUGAAGGAGGACAGAUGAGGGAGUGACCCUGAGGUGGGGGACCAGGGUCACCCAAGCAGCUUGGCCAAUUAUAAUAUCUGGCUUCAGAAAUGAGGUUUUAUUUUUUUUGUCAAUCGGCUUUCACGUUUUAUUUUUCUUUCAAUGCCAGAGCUUCUCAGCUUGGCCCCUGUAGCCCUGUACGUUAGCCCACUCCGAAGACAUUCUCUUUCAGGAUGUCCAGGAGCCUCUGACACUAUGGGUAGAAUUGGUAUCAUGGAAAUCAUGAAAAAGAAUGAAAUUUUGUGACAAUGGGCAGAAAAACCCCAAAACCAGGUUUCUAGUCACUUUUUUGUGCGUGGUGGGAGGCAGUUUGAAAGUAAAACGAAAAUCGGGGAUGGGAAGCUUCUUGGUGGGGUCUGGACUGGGGAGUCUCAUCUUUCUGACCACCCAGGAACCUAUGUGGAGAGAGUGGCUGGGCCCACUGUCCAGCCAGCGCCGAGAGGGUUUCCGAGUAGAGAUGUGACCGCAGGGUCACCGGUUAGUGUCGUAAAAUAGGACCGGUGGUUGUGGUUACUAAAUGUGUGCAUGAGAUCUACACGGUAAAAAGGCCAAACAAUUUUUUUUAAAGCAGUGAUAGAAUUUUCCCUCCAGAUUUAAAAAGAAUCGUCCCUGAUGCUUUUGGCUUUCUAAAACCGGGGCGGUUUUUUUUCCCCCCCACACUGUGGAACGCCCUUUCCUUAAUUCUGGCAUUUCAGAUGGCAGGAAGAGCAUUUAGCUGAAAUAUUUACCUGCUGAUUUGGGGUUCUUAAAUUUAGAAUCCCCUUUCAUGUGUUUAAGAGAGAUAUUUACAUUCAAAUCAGCCGUUUAUAAUUACAUUUUAAAUUAUAAUAAAAUGAUGGUGCCGGCGCUCCAGUUUUCCGUGUAUUUUAACUGUAAGAGAAGCUGCCGCGAAUUGAAUGGGGGCUACCCAUCACCCAGAGCCCCCACUGCCCACCGCGUGGGUUCUGGCCUGCCCGGGCACACGUGUCCUGAGCAUGGCGGCUACAUGGGUGUUACCUGUGGGGCCCUCCCCGCACUGCAAGGAGAAGGGCUUGACGGGGAUUCUGGCCCCACACAGUGUGAUGGUGGCCCAGCCUCACCGCCUGCAGCUCCAUCUGAGAAGGGCCUGAUACAGGCUGGGGUCCAGGCCCACUGCCCUCAUGUCCUGAGCCCCACAGUGGCCUGCAGGCCUGCUUCGGAGGCCUGCUUUGGAGGCCAUUAUCUCCUGGGCAGCCAGCCGGGCACAGCAGUGGCCACUUCUGGUCGAGGCAGUUCUGUGGGUGGGGGGACGAGCAUCGCCUCCUGCAACCGUAACCCAGGCCCUGCCUCCCCUGCCAUGGCCCUGUGGGUCCCGUCGUUGCCAUCUCGUCCUCAGUGGCUUCCCGAUGUUGCCUGCUGGCAGGGCAGGCCCCGCGCCAUGGAGCAUGAGGGACCCUUCCCCUCCCAGGGCCAGGCUUUUGGCAGCCAGGCCAAGCCGCUGCUGGAAUGGAAUUCCCGGCGUUCCUGGUGGGGCGCGUGGCAUCGGAAUCCUACCUGCUUUGUCUCUGGCAUCAGCUGGAGAGCCAGUCACGUGGCCGUGUGCGUGAGACCAGAGCCCAGGACUGAGGGCUCCUCCCGGGCGCUUCCUCCUCGCUCACUCACCCCCACCCCCUUUUUUUGGCUUUCAGCAGGACUGGCUCUGAGCAGGCGUAAAACAGUGUUAAAACUGAAUCCAGGCAGCAGGGAGCUCCUGUCCACGGCGGCAGGCUCUCACAGUCCACCGGGCUCUUGCGGUCCACCCAGACCACCCUUUACCUCGAGUCCUUAUGGACAGAAAGGCCCUGAUAUGUCCCAUACACCCAGGAGUUAGGCCCAGAGCUGGGCAGUGGUGACUCCAUGCCAUUCCCUCUGGUGUAGAGCUGGCCCUGCCUGCCCCCAGAUGGCCAUGGGGUGGGUGGCACUGCUUCCUGGGGAACCCCUUCCCACACUUCCAGCCUUGUUUCUCACCCACACAAGGACACCCCAGUGGUCACUGCUGCAGCUCCCGGUCACAUAGAGGUUGAGAGGGGAGAGCUGGACAAACAGGUGACCCAGCAGACCCAGCCUGAUGCCCGCAGGAGAGAGCAACGGGGUCUGAUAUUUUGUCUCCAAAUGAAAGAGCCACAGUGAACCCCCGGGCCUGCCAACCCCAGUUGUAGGGCCAGAGAACGGGGAUGUUUCCCUGAGGUGGUGGCAAGGUUUGGUUUGGUGAAAAUGAAGGAUUUGUGAGGGUCUGAGAGGGGAGGGUGACGGGCCUAGACUCCACCCCUGGCGCCCUGUCCACCGCGGCUGGCUGGCCACUCUCGGACCCCUCGGCGUCGAGCGCUGACCGGGUGCCUGCCUGGGGCUUGGGGCUCUGUGCAUGUUAAUUCUGCCACUGCAGCAGCCCUGAGUGGGAGGAGCCAUUAUCCCCUUUCUUUCUAUAGAUGGGGAAACUGAGGCAGGCUUGCCCAUGGUGAAGUGGCUGGUCGGACACAGGUCCAGAUUGAAACCUGCAGCCUCGGCUCCUGGCUACAACAGCACCAGCCUCCACAGGCAUUAGAAGGGGGCUCCCUGCAAGGGCCCCAGCCAGGGCAGCUUUCAGGGUGGGGUCUCUGGCCUCACCCUGGGGAAACGGCCGGGGCGCUGGCUGCCUCCUGCUGAGCCUGGCGUGGGAACAAUGUGGCCUCUAUCCCUGGAGCGAGCCAGGCCGCCUGGACGCCCAGCCCUUUAGAGCAGCCCGGCCAGGCAGGCGCCCACAGCAUGGCGCUCGGGCCGCGCUGCCUGUCCACGGGAUGCGGGCGCCUUGGCCAGGCCCAGGCAGCCGCUCCCUGUGUCCUCCCUGGCCGGCCACUGAGUGGCCAGACGCUGGCUUCCUCCUCCCUUUCCCGCCCGGCCAGCCUCCUCCUUUUCUGGUGGUGGGUUUGGGGGCCCAGCCCACCCGCCACUGCCACGUCUGCCAUCCUCCCGCACCCACGAGCAUCUUUCAAAAAUUCCCGGUGGGCGGGGCUGAGCUGCAGCGGCCGCCUCUGCCCCCCCCUCCCCGGGCAGCCAGUGCCAGAUGAGAGCAGAAGACAAAAGUAGCAUUUUCCUCGUACUCCGGGGCUGGCAGUGGGGCCUUCCCCCAGCACCACAUGGCUCCUGGCAGCCCUGCCCCCUGUGCCCGGGUGGCCAAGGCCCAGCCGGGCCCACUGGACCGAGGGACGGUGGCAGCCAGAGACUAGGGGGCCCGUGGGCCCAUGGCUGGGGCUGGCACCGGGCAGCCUGCUGGCCGGCGGGACCUGCCCUCCUCCCCCACCCGGGUGACCGGCCGGGCCCAGGGACGUCAUUUUCACUUCCUGGCUUUGGAGAAGGCACCUCCAUCCUUCGGCACCUCGGAACAUGGCCCCGUCCCAGAGCACCACCCGAGACAUCAGGAGCCCAUCGUGGGCUUGGGAAGACCCUCCGGGACCUCACAGCCCAGGUCUUCCACCCUCAGUCACCUCCCCAGGUGACGCCUGAAGCUCAAGGGACUGUGUCCACCCUCAGGCCCUGCCCGUGGCUCCGCAUCGGUGGUCCCCAUCAGAGGCCUGGGCUGAGUCCUCAGGUGUGUGAGUACCAUCUUCCCGUGACCCGGUGGCCCUGCGAGCACCCCGCUGCCAGCCACAGCUCGGCCGCCCUGGGCCUUGGCCUCCCUGUCUGUGCAGUGGGGUUGGUGGCGAUCACAGGCUUCUGCACUGCACAGGCUGGGAGGGAGUGCCAUGUGGCUGCACGCCCAGCCCAGGAGCAGCAUCGCUGCUGGACCUUUGGGUUCUCAAUAAGAUCUGGUGAAGAGACAUGGAGACCACUGCUGGGCGGGGGCAGGAAGGCAUCCGUGUGGCACCCUGGGGCCGCCCAUCUGUUGGAUCUGGGGGUGCUGCCUGCCAGGCUCUACUCUGCAUCCAGCGAGUGUUUGUUGGAGGCAGUGGGGCCCGUGCCUUUUGUCCAGAGGAGGCCGGAGAAGGGGACACAAGAGGGGAAUGGACAGACAGUCACUAGACAGAUGAGCAGGACGGGGCUCGGGGCUUGUUUGGGAAGUAGCUGGUGCUGAGCUUGGCUGGGGCAGGGCUCCAGGAGGGGCCGAGUGGGCCCCACCCCGGAUCCUUGUCGGCAGGGCCCCGAAAGUUCCAGGCUGUGGGGUGGGUGCUGUGGAAGGUGGAGAGGGGAGCAGCCUCCCAUCCCUGGAGCAGGUCCCCCGGCGUCCCCGCUGUGGGGUGGGUGCUGUGGAAGUGGGGCAGGGAGCAGCCUCCGAUCCCUGGAGCAGGUUCCCCAGCGUUCCCGUGGCAGCCGCUUCAUGGCACAGUGGUCCCCGGAGUUCAGGCCAGGCCCUCGUGCCUCCUGUCUGGGGACCGCUCCAAACUUGGGCAAAUGUCCCCGGGUCUGGGGACAAAGGAAGGUUUUAAAUCCAGGAGCCCUGGCUCAGUAGACCCUUGCCACCUCCCCCAGAGGUCAUGCCUCAGGCUAGGCCACCUGGGCUGCAACAUGGGAGGGCAUCAGUGCCCCAGGCAGCGCCCAGUCCCCCAGGGCCACUGCGAGACCCUUAGACGGGACAACAAGGCCUCUAGAAGCCCCGGCUGCUGGGAGCCUGGGCAGAAGAAGAGCCCACCUGCCUGUCUCUGGGCCCAUGCACAGGGCGGGCACUGUGCUGCUUUUCCGGUGGCUCCUCCUCCUCCCGGCCCCAUCACCACUCCCACCCGCAGCGGCCUUUGUUUUCCAAGCGCUCUGCAAAAUGGCCGCCCGGCCUGCCGCCAUUUUGUAGCUGAGGUGGCGGUGGCCUUGGAGAGGCCUGGGAGGGAGGGUGGCCAUGGCCUGCCUGCCUGCCCUUGGCGGCCUGGACAGAGCCCAGCGCCGGCCCCCGCCUAGUCUGGCCUUGGCCGUGGCUGCCCCAGGCUUGGCACCAGCCAGCCCUUGGCAAGGCAGCCCGGGAGUCCUGGCCCCUCACCCAGCCCUGCCGGCCCCUCGCCACCCUGAGGCAGCCCUGCCGAGCAGACGGAGAAACCUUGAGCCAGGGCCGGGCCAGUACAGCCUCGCUGGCGGGGGAGCCCUGGGCCGAGGGCAGCGCAGGCAGGUGUGGGGCCCACCUGGGCUCCCGGCACCUCUGCAGGGGUGAUGCCUUCAGGCCUUGACCGCUUCACCUAUUGUGCUCCUGGCCUGGCCCAGCCGGGAGUGGGUCUCUCAGUGGCCAGCCCAACUUCUGGCUUAGAGAAGGGCACCACCAUCCUCAGGAAGAGGGCAGGGCCGCACUCUGUCCAGGAUUCCCCUGUGUUGGGGCCAGCCAAAGUUUCUGACACACAGGAGUGGAGGACCUGUUCCCUCCUGGGCCCCUCCACAGCCCCCACUCUCCUGCAGGCCCCAUCCCCGCAACCUCAGCCAUUCCAAACAGCAUCUCCCUCCUCAUCAGAGCCCCUCAGCCUCUCCUGAGCCUCUGAGCUUGCUUCCUGCCCCGUCACAGGCCCAUGCACCUGCCCUUCCAGCACCCAGAGGAUCCCAAGUGGCACAUUCCCAAAGGGACGGUUUCCAGGAAACCCCCGGGGUCAGGGUGGCUGCAGGUCAGCAUCAGGGAGAUGCUGGGUGUUGGCCGUGGAGGACAAUUGUGCCCCUGGCCUGGCCAGGCAGGGAGGGGGCAGGUGGACUCCGCGGGAGCCCUGUGGGGUUGGCUACACAUGGGUUCCUGCUAUCCUUGCAACAAGGUCCCCUGGAGGGCAGUGCGCCUCCUAGAAGAAGGCGAGAGAAAUCACCACGUGAAGCAGGGAAUGGCGUUUGAUGAGUGUGUGCUUUUUCUAGGGGUCGACACAGGUCCUCUGGGUGGCAUGGAGUGGUGCCGGCUGGACCCCACGGUGGCCUGUGUUCUCCACGUGGCCAUGGGUCGGUUCCUCGCUGGAGGAGACCCUUCCCCAGACACCUGCUGGGCACCCAGCCAAGCCCUUGAGGCCUGGGUACGUCUCUGGACGCCACCCUACACCCCGCCCAGACUCCUCUCCCUGUGGUUCCUGGACAGAACAUUCCGUCACCACGAAACGAAGUUUGCCCAGGCCCUGCCCUCACCCUGGGGAAACCCAGCCGGGCAUGGGAAGGAGGAAUGCUGCCCGCCUGCCUGCCCAGACCAGAGUCGCCCCACAUGCCAGGCCAGGCCCGGCCCGUAUCCUCCUGGGGCACACGGGAGCCCCAGGCUUCCCGGCAGGAAAAGCACCCCCCCCACCCACAGAAGGGCUGGUCCCUGGUGGGGAGUUGCUGCUGGGUGGGGUGACCGCAGGGCGGGGUUCAGGCUGGGGUAUUUUUAAUGAUGUGGUUGCAUCUGGUCACCGCCCCCCGCCACCCCCGAUUCUUUCCUGCCCUCCCCACCUUGUGACCCAGACUGUGGCUUGAAUUAAGAAUGUUUUCAGAUAAGUACACGCCUUUGAGGUUAAAAGUAUGCCUAAUGAUUAAACACCAGACAGAGAUCCCCACAGGAGAAGAGCGGGCUCCGCAUUCCUGCUUUUCCCCUUUGGACUCCAAGCGAGCCUGUUUGCGUAACCCUGGAGCAUUAAAGAGCAGCUUCCCUGGAUUCUCCCCACAGCCCUGGGGGCUGGCGUCCUGACCCAUCAUACGGAGGAGGCAGCUGAGGCCCAGAAGGGUUAACCUACUCCAUCCCAGGCCCAUCACUGAGGGAGACAGAGCAGGUCAGAACCAGGCCUGGCAGCCCCUAGGCCUAUGCCCCAUGGAUGCAGGUGCGUCUGCAGAGCAGGGUCCUCCCCUGCCAGUGCCAGCCCUUAGGUGUCUUGGGUGCUGCGUUACUCUUGUGAGCUUCCACGCUCACCCCUGUGGCCACAACGUUGGUGCCUGCUGGACCUCUGGCCCUGUUCUAGAUGCAGGACAUGUGGCCACAGCAGGCCUGGCCCCUGCCCCAGGGAGUGGACGUUCCCUGAGCCUGUCCCCCACCCCCACUGAGAACUUAGUGGCUAUGAGAGAACAGGAAAGCAGGAAGCUAGACAGGGCACAAAUCCCCGACGGUGUAGACCCUGACCUGGAGCACGUGGGUGUCGGUUUUGGGGAAGCCAGACAGGGAGGGUGCUAACAGGAGGGCCAGUGAGGGGACCUUGGGACCCCAGACAGCCCUGGAAGGAAGGCAGCCCUGGGGUCCAGGCCAUGCUCCAUCCUGGGGGCACCUCUUUCCCACUUGUGUGUGGUGUGCAGGGCUCGGGGAGGAGCCUGGAUCUGAGGAGUGCAGUUCCGGUUGUGGCUUUGCCACAGCGUCCCCGUGGCAUGCUGUUGGGGACCAUGAGACUGUGGGCGGCCUAGCUGUAUUGCAGCCUGAGGCCAGAGGGGAGGUCAGUAACCCUUACCCGUCCCAUCUUGAUUUAAGUUUGAUAUUUUGAGAUCAUGGACCUUUCUGCAUUGAUUUUCUUUUUUAAUUUUGCAAUAAGAUAUUUCUGCUGAUGGCUGGGUUUUUGGUCCUUUUAACAUGCCUCCCACGCCUCGCCCUGGUCCCCGACCUGCCGCGGCCGAGCCAGAGACGCAGGCUGCCCCGUGCGUGUCUCGUUAGCUUUCUGGGCCGUGUUUGCAGGAGGCCCGCCUCCCGUCCGAGCCCCCAGACGCCACCCCUCCCCGUCUUUUUCCCAGACCCGUUGUUGGCACGGCUUGCUGAGCAGAGACACAGGCCGCUUUAUGGGGAGAAACCCAAUCAGGGUGGCGGGGGUGUGCUCCUUGGGGGGGGUCCGGCUCCCAGUGGCCCUGAGCCAAGCCCGAGGUGACUUCGGGGUGACACCGUCUGUCUGCCUCACUUGCUCCAGACAUCCGCCCGGCCCUGAAAUGGCCACCUGCCCACCGAGGCCUCCGCACACCUGUCCUGGCUGGCCUGGCCCCUCCCCCGCCUGGGCCUGCCGGGCACCCUGCCCACGGGCAGACACCGUGGGGCCAGGGCAGCGGCCGGGAGGUGGCAGCUGGCAGAUGGCAGAGCGCCUGCCGACUGCUCACUCCCCGUCAGCUCUGCUCAAGGAGCGCCCGCCGUUCACGCUGCAUGGCCUGCCCAGCCCUCCUCCAGGCUGGCUGGGAAGGGUCUCUCUGGUCUGUCUCGGGAAGCCUCCUGAGAAAGGGGAGAUUCCUGCUGUCUCCCCAGGCCUGAGCCCCAUGCUCACCCCCAGGGCUGCCGGGCAGGUGGGCCUGGAGAUCACCCCCGCACACACCCCACAACGCAUGCAACUGGACUUCUCUCCACCAGCUCAGAAAUGGCUCCAUGAGUGGGUCACGACGCCGAAACAUCAGUCUUUCCCCACCCCACGCCCAAGAAAGCCCUGGUUGUCGGCUGCAGUUCUCCUGAUUCCGUGCAGAUCCUCCUGCGGUGGGGGUGGAGCCUGCUGAGGUCACAGCAUCUGUGUCCUGGUCCUGUGGAGCACAGCAGGGUUGGGUGUGCAGGAAAUGUGUCCAGACACCCUCCUCAGAGUCCCCCGGAGCGGGCACUGCCACACUCAGGCUCCCUGACCACCGCAGGCCUGGGUGGUCCAGGUGUGAGUCCUGGAGCCUUGGGGGCAGAGCUGGGACUCACCAGGGAAUACGGGGCCCUCUGGGGAAAGGAGCAGGAAAAAGCAGGGUGGUUGUGCCUGGCAGAGGGACAGGCCAGGGCAAUGCUGGGAGCAGAGGCCUGCCCGGGACACUUGCUGCUCUGGGAGGCUGGAGGGGGAGCCAGGGCUGCGGGCAAGCUGGGGAGGGGCAGAGACAGUAGAGAGAGUGUCAGCAGUGGUAGAAUGCCUGGCUGGCUGGGAGCGCGGGCAGGGCUGGUGCUCAGGGAGGAGGAGGGAAGGGCACCCCCCACCCAGUGUCCCCACAGGCCCCUCAAUAGCCUGGUGGGUGGCUCUCCUGGUCCCCAGCAGGGCUGCCCUUGCUCGAGGUCACACGGUACAGGGCUACAGGGAAACAGGGUAUGUCUGCUCCCAUCCAGCGUCUUGGGCUCAGCCCCGGGAACCCACAUCCCUUCCUGCCUGGAUGCACCUCUCUGGCCUUUGCACCCCGUGCCUGUCCUGCAAGGGCACUCCAGCCAGAAUGGGCUGGAGUGAGGUGAAAUUUUGAUUCACUGGACAAGCCCUUGCUGAAGCCCUGCAGCCCCAGACUGGAUCCUGUGGGCCCCUCCCAGGGGUUUCCGCUUGUGGGAGGACCCCAAGCCUUCCUUGUCCUGGGUCCCAGGGGAAGCCACAGCCCCCCUGGACCCUCAGCAUCCUCCUCGGUGCAGUGGGGGUUUAACUCCUCCCUCCAGGGUCCAGCCACCUGCUGACAGGCCAGGCGCCUGGGAAAGCGGAGCCAGGCUGUCCCCCCGUGCAUCCUUCUGCCCCCCUCUGGGCCCUAGAGCAUCGAGGCACCACCGUGGCAGGGCACAGGCUUCCCAGCAGGGGAACAUGACCACUGACUACUCAAGGACAGGCCUGGGUCUUGGUCACCUUUGACCUGGCAUUGUCCAACACAGGGCUGGCCACAGAGGCCAUUCCAUCCAGGCCCUUGCAGGGGUGGGUGAGCCACUAGGCGAGAGACAGGCCAGGCCGGAGUGUCAGUUCUGGUGUGGGACAGCCCAAGGUCACAAAGGGGUUCAGGGCUGGGCGAGGCCACGUCUCUUCCAGAGCUGACACUUGUCACUUUUGUUUUUAAAACCCAACAGGUCAAGAAGUGGCGCUGACCUGGAGCCCCUGCCUGUGGCUGGCCUUCCUCACAGUGAGCUGGGCGUCCUGCCAUCCUGGCUCUGGAGGUAGGAGGAGCCGUGGGAGGUCUGAUAGGGAGGGAGGGCUAUCUCAGAGCCAGGCCACUUCCGGUCCUCUCCAGGCCCCACCCUCAGGCACAGAGGUCCUUAGAUGGGGACUUGAUGGUCUCAUGGCCAAACCUUCGCCCAGGCUGUGGCCUCCCCUGAAGCCAUGUCUCUUCUUGUCUUCCCGCCACUCUUCCAGCAAGCUCCCCCCGUUGGCCCACCUCAUCUGCCCACCGUGCACUUGGGGCGUGGUGACCUUUGUCCCUGGUGGUGCACCCCUCAGGCUGGACAGAGCCUGGAAGAGCUGUGGAUCAUUGCGGGGCGUCUGAGUGGAAGAGGCACGCCCAGCCUCACCUGCACACCCUGAAGACUCACUCUCUGGCCCUGGGCUCUGUUGUGUGCACUGCCUGUCUGCAGGGCCCAGCCUGCCUCAAGCACUCCCUGGGGACAGAAGCUCCUGCGGUAGCCUCUCCUGUCACCUGGCCACUGGUCAUCCUGGAGUGCAGCCCUCAUGCCCCGAGGCCACCUGCCAUCACCCAGGAUGACUCAAGAUGCCACCUGGCUGCUCUCCCCGAGAGGCUACUUCCCUCAAGGAAGGAAAGAACUAUGUCCCACCACCUCCUGCAGUAUGGUCAGCUCAGGCCAGCCUGCACAGCAGGGCCAGAACCGGAGCCCCUGGGGAGGGAUGCCUGUCUGCCCAGUGGGAGGAGACAGCACGCCCCUGGGCUGCUACUCAGCCAGCUUGGGGGCCACGAGUGCUGCUUCUGGCGGCGCUGUGCGGGGAGGGAGGGGGCCGAGCACUCGCACGCCUGUGUCUUGCUGGCCUUGGACAGAUGACAGCCCUCCUCCCAGGGUCUCCAGUGCAGAGUUCCUUGGGAACAUUAUGGCCACUCCUGUCCAGAUGAGAGGGGGCCGGCUGCGUGUGACAGCGUCGCAAAAUGCAGCUAGGGUUUUCCCUCCCUCCUCCUUUCUCUCUUCCUCGUCCCUCUCUGGUUGGUGGUUUCCUGCAGGCUCCUGUCCCUGCUGGUGCUGGCCCACAAUGUCCCCACUCCCAGGGAUUCAGCGUCCCAGCCCCCUGCACCCACCACGCCUGCCCACCGGAAUCCCCGUGCCCUUGGUGCCUGUGGCCUGCCAAGCCCCGAGCCCCUGUUCUCCUCAGCCCUCUUUCCUCCCCCGCUCUAGGAGGUGCCUCUGGAAGCCAUGGAGUCCCAUCGGCACCAAGACCGACUGCCCUUUGGGGUGAGGUAGUAGGUUGUAUAGUUUGGGGCUCUGCCCUGCUAUGGGAUAACUAUACAAUCUACUGUCUUUCCUGAAGUGGCUGUAAUAUCUGCGGUGGACAGAGCAUCUGGAACCCUGGCUGGGAGGGGGCAGGGGCAGGUUUGGGGGCAGCCUUGGCAGCAGUCGGGGGCAGGGGCUGCCUACACUAAGAAUUCUGACAGGCCUAGGCUCUUCUUGCUGUGUGACCUUGGACAGGCUCCUGAUCUCUCUGGGCCUCAGUUUCCUCCUCUGUAAAAUGGAGGCAAACGAGGAUGGAAGGAGAUGUGUGGAGCAUCGAGGGCAGAGGAGAGCUGAGCCGACCCCACCUCUGCCCCCGCUGCACUGAGAGAGGCGACCCAUGCAGCUGUUUGUCUGACCUCUGUCUCCCAACACUGCCCCCGCCAUCAGGCCCAGGUUCAUGGGUGGCCCUGAGCCGUACCCUCCACUGAGCACCAGGAGAAGGCACUAUGGGGCCAGGGGUGGCCGAGAUGUUUGGAGGUUGCAGGGCUGUGAGUGUUGGCCUUGCCCAUCACCCCAGGUGCCCAGCACGUGGCCAGCUCAGUGGCAGGGCCUCUGCCUGCGGAGGAAGGGAGGCCAAGGCACCUGUCCCGAGCAGGAAGUGAGAGGAACAGCUCUGCAUACACUGGGUCCCACAUGGCACAAUCUGAAGGCAGACGGUGGCUCCUCCGUACCUGGGGAAACUGAGGCCCAGAGAGCCAGGGGCUUCCUGAGACCAGCCAGCAGCAGUUGCCCCUUCCUGGGGUGCCAUCUCCCCUGUCCCUCCUGCCCUGCGCCUGCCCAGCCCUCCUGCUCUGGUGACUGAGGACCGCCAGGCAGGGGCUGGUGCUGGGCGGGCGGCGGCGGGCCCUCCCGCAGUGCAAGGCAGGGCCUGGCGGGGUGAGGUAGUAGGUUGUGUGGUUUCAGGGCAGUGAUGUUGCCCCUCAGAAGAUAACUAUACAACCUACUGCCUUCCCUGAGGAGCCCAGUGACACGACCCCACGGGAGGGCCGCCCCCCACCUCGGUGACCUGCAAGGGGCCUGAGCCGAAGAUGGGUGAGCAUCUGGGAGCUAGAUUCAAUAAAGCUGUUCUGACCAUGAA